GUGAGGCACAGGAACAGAACAGACCAUAAUUCAACGAAUAAAACUUAAAAACACUGGGACAGUGACAAUGGCAUAAAUGCCACAUGACACCUUGUGUAUACCUGUGAGAGGCUUUGAAAACACAGCAUAGUAUUUAUGCGAUGUUGACUGUUUUUGUGUUUUUGUUUAUUUUGACCUGUUUUUGUAUAUCCGCAGCACUGAACCAAACACACAUCUCUGUGGGUCAACAUGCUACAAUCCAAAAGAGCACCACUGCUGUGAAAGAAACCAAAAGCCUCACUGGUUCUGCACCUCAGAUCCUACUUUUUCCUGUUAUGUCUUUCCAGAUGUAACUGAAUCCUCUCUCCACCCUUCCAACCCUCACACCUCUCUGUUUAGGUCAAAGCAAGGCAACACCCACUGUAUAUAAUCCACACAUACAAGUCUGCUGUGAUGGAUGUAUGUCUACGUGGAAGCCUUGGAUGGAUCAGUGCUGUGGAGAGACACCAUAUGGCUCGGGACAACGCAGAGUUCUCUGUUGUAAUAACACCUUGUAUGAGGACAGAGACGAUGGAGAGGAAUGUUCUGGCACGGGUAUUCCUUACAAUCCGGCUAAAGGGACCAUAUGUUGUUCUCAGUUUCACGGCAGCCCAGGACAACACUGCUGUGGGACAGAAAUUUACCGGCCUGAUGUUGAGAUUUGCUGCAAUGGACACAGACAUCCCAAAUCAGAAAACAUUCACUGCUGUGGGGUCAAAGCCUACAACAUUAAAGACCCACAAAUGAAGUGCUGUGCAGGAAGUCUGUACAAUCUGACAUCAUUAGAUAAGCAUGGAGGGGACGCGCAGUGCUGCGGAUCCACUCUGCAAAAGCCACAGGGGGCGCUGUGGAGCCAGAGGGGCCGAUGGCGCGAUAUGGCAGCCUUGCUUCUGUCAGUCUGCCCCAGGGCAGCUGUGGCU
ensembl:lncRNA